UACAGAGGUCUCAAGCGUUUGUUCGGAUUCAUUGGGCGUAAAGGGUGCGUAGGCGGCGCGGUAAGUCGGGUGUGAAAUCUCGGAGCUUAACUCCGAAACUGCAUUCGAUACUGCCGUGCUUGAGGACUGGAGAGGAGACUGGAAUUUACGGUGUAGCGGUGAAAUGCGUAGAUAUCGUAAGGAAGACCAGUGGCGAAGGCGGGGUCUCUGGACAGUUCCUGACGCUGAGGCACGAAGGUCAGGGGAGCAAACGGG
rnacentral:rRNA from 1 species